UUCUUUGUUUUUGUUUUUGUUUUUUCUGGAGAGGACGGAGUGCUGUCAUCUAGAUAACAUUUUCAAAGCUUAAUGACCUUGGCACGAGUGGCAUGGCAGGCAGGGAGCUGGGACUCUUCUCCUGCAGGCAGACAUGAAGAAAAACACUGAACAUGGGCAGAGUUCUGGAUCUCUCACAGAAGACUGUUUGGGGAUAACCUACCCCCCCCCCCACACACACACAAGACAUCAGCUGGCUAUGAAGCAAGCCAUGCAGUCUUAGAGUUAAUUCACAAGUGUGUCUUCCACUAAGGAAAUCAUCUCCAGCAUCAUUAUCAUUUUGAUUGUUUUGGAGAGGAAAGGAAAACAGAGAAGAAGGCAUUGUUCCAGCAGAGUACAAGCUGCGGACAUUUCACCACAACUGCAGUUUAAGAGGAAGGCUGCAAAGCAGAUGUUCUAUAGCCAGAGCAAGCAAAUCUCCCUCCUCAGGUUACCAGCGGCUCUUGAGUGUUGGGAGUUGCCACAAAGGGAGUCGCCAUCCAUGACAUAGCACAAACUCUUUUCCUCAUCCAUGACCUUAGACAGAACCCUUCUGAUUUUCUUUAUCAUUCCAAUCUAGAAUCCCUUCC
rnacentral:lncRNA from 1 species